GUUGAGAGAUGCUUGAGCCGGAGCGAGGAUGAUCGGAUGGGAGACCAUCAGGGAUGGACCUGAAUUGAAACUUGGGGAAGCGACAGUACAUGGUGGCUAUGUCUGUGGAAUGUUCAAGACGAUCCUGAAUGUGAUUGGAGUUGAUGAAGGUGGCUUCAAAACCAGCAUGGCUAAGAAGCUCUGCUAGCAUGAGCAUUGGUUUGACAUGACCUUGUGCGGGGAAGGGUAGGAAGACGACGUGAGGGACAACAGGCUGGUCCAUGGUGGAGCUUCGAUUUGGUGAGGACACAGUAUUGAAUUGCAAUGGAUAUCCAAGGUCUAAGAACCAUGAUCCAUCAAUCAGUUAUCUGUGCCCAAAUAAGAUUAUUUGACGGAGAUGACAAGGCUAUACAAUGUUGUGACUUGAGACCUGAAAA